rnacentral:rRNA from 1 species
CUACGGGAUGCACCAGUGAGGAAUUUUGCGCAAUGGGGGAAACCCUGACGCAGCAACGCCGCGUGAGCGAAGAAGGCCUUCGGGUCGUAAAGCUCUGUCAAGUGGGAAAAAACGCUUUAGAUUAAUAGUCUAAAGAAUUGAUGGUACCACUGGAGGAAGCACCGGCUAACUCCGUGCCAGCAGCCGCGGUAAUACGGAGGGUGCAAGCGGUGUUCGGAAUUACUGGGCGUAAAGCGCGUGCAGGCGGUUUGGCAAGUCAGAUGUGAAAGCCCUGGGCUCAACCCGGGAAGUGCAUUUGAAACUGCCUUUCUUGAGUAUGGGAGAGGAGAGUGGAAUUCCCAGUGUAGAGGUGAAAUUCGUAGAUAUUGGGAGGAACACCCGUGGCGAAGGCGACUCUCUGGACCAAUACUGACGCUGAGACGCGAAAGCGUGGGGAGCAAACAGGAUUAGAUACCCCGGUAGUC